rnacentral:rRNA from 1 species
AUUGAACGCUGGCGGCAGGCCUAACACAUGCAAGUCGAACGAGUGGCGGACGGGUGAGUAAUGUCUGGGAAACUGCCUGAUGGAGGGGGAUAACUACUGGAAACGGUAGCUAAUACCGCAUACCAUCGGAUGUGCCCAGAUGGGAUUAGCUAGUUGGUGGGGUAACGGCUCACCUGGGCGACGAUCCCUAGCUGGUCUGAGAGGAUGACCAGGCACACUGGAACUGAGACACUGUCCAGAUUCCUACGGGAGGCAGCAGUGGGGAAUAUUGCACAAUGGGCGAAAGCCUGAUGCAGCCAUGCCGCGUGUAUGAAGAAGGCCUUCGGGUUGUAAAGUACUUUCAGCGGGGAGGCGUUACCCGCAGAAGAAGCACCGGCUAACUCCGUGCCAGCAGCCGCGUUAAUUC